GCGCUCGUAGCUCAACUGGAUAGAGUGUCUGACUACGGAUCAGAAGGCUGCGGAUUCGACUUCUGCCGGGCGCGCCA
rnacentral:tRNA from 1 species